AUGCCUCAGCAACAAGGCCAUCAAACUCAAACAAAUGAAGUACAAUUUCGAGGGAUUGAAUUCUUGCAGCGGGAUCCAGCACUACGUCCACAGAUUUGGCAAUAUCCACCUAAUCAAAGAGAUGAUGUGCGGCGAGCAUAUUUGAAGCUUGGUAUUAUGCAGCCCCGCUUGAAGGAUUACAAAGCUUACGGUCCAGAAGGUCGCAAACGACGCUUUAAAUAUGACUGGUUCAAGGAUUUCCCAUCAUGGUUGGAGUACUCGGAGGACAGUCAUCGUGCAUAUUGCUUCUAUUGUUUCUUGUUCAGCAACAAUAAAAACAAGCGAGGUGGUUCAGAUGUCUUUACAGUGCGAGGAUUUGUAAAUUGGAAGAAGGUCCAUGAUGGAAAGAAAUGUGCAUUCUUAAACCAUAUAGGUUCUGAACCUUGCUCUGUACAUAAUAAUGCAACCAAAGCAUAUCAUGACUUCUUGAAUCAGCAAGGCCAUUUAGAAAAUGUUGUAGCAGUGGGCAACCUCCUUGCAGAAUUCAAUCCUGAGAUUGCUGAAGUUAUUUUGGAGAAUGCUCCAUACAGUUCAAAGUACACAUCACAUGAAAUCCAACAAGAGAUAUUGGGUAUUUAUGCAUUUAAAGUUAGGAAACAUAUCCGUGAAGAGAUUGGGAAUUCUAAGUUUUCUAUUCUAGUGGACGAGACAUGUGAUGUAGCAAAAAGAGAGCAGAUGGCAUUGGUUCUCAGAUUCGUUGAUGAAGAUCGUAUAUUGCAAGAGCGGUUCUUUGACUUGAUACAUGUGACGAACACCAAAGCCGCAACACUUAAAGAGGUAUUGAGUUCUUUGUUAUCCAAACAUGCUUUUGAUGUUCAGAACCUUCGUGGACAGGGGUACGAUGGGGCUAGUAAUAUGAGGGGGGAGUUCAAUGGUUUGCAAGCUCUUUUUCUUAGAGAAUGCCCGUAUGCGUACUAUGUCCACUGCUAUGCUCAUCGUUUGCAACUUGCGCUAGUGGCUGCAUCAAAGGAAGUGGUCUCUAUUGCGCAAUUCUUCCAGAAACUUCUUUUUAUUGUAAACACCGUUGACUCCUCCGCAAAGCGCCAUGAUGAGCUUCAUGAUGCCCAGUUGGAGGAACUAGCUCGGUUACUAGCUAUUGAUGACAUUGAAACUGGAAAAGGGGGAAAUCAAAUCUGCACACUAAAACGACCUGGAGACACUAGAUGGGGGUCUCACUUAGGUUCUAUAUCAAGCCUAAAGAAAAUGUUUAAUGCAGUAAAUUCAGUACUUCAAAAUAUAGCAUCCGAUGGGUCAGCUGGCUCAAUUCGUGCAGAUGGAGACACUGCUUUUAGCUACUUGUCCUCUUUUGAGUUCAUAUUUAUCUUAUGUCUAAUGGAAGAAAUAUUGGAGAUAACUGAAGAUCUUGGUCAAGCUUUGCAAAAGAAAUCACAGGACAUAGUAAAUGCCAUGCGCCUAGUGUUUACAACAAAGGUUCUUCUUGAUGAAAUGAGAUCAGAUGAUGGUUGGGAAGCCUUUUUUGAUAGGGUUGUUGAGUUCUGUGUAAAUCAUUCCAUUGAUAUUCCAAAUCUGGGGGAAACUUACAUUAUGCGUGGUGGUCGUGCUCGUCGCCAACCAGACCGUUUUACGAAGGAACAUUAUUUCCGGGUGGAAGUAUUUCGUGCAACACUUGAUACUCAGCUACAUGAAUUAGAAUUCAGGUUCAAUGACAAGGUACUGGAUCUUUUGACCACAAGUGCUACUCUGAUCCCCAAAAAUAAAUUCAGUUCUUUCAAAGCUGCAAGUGCCGAGCGAGCAUUCUCUACUUUGAAGAUCAUCAAGACAAGGCUACGUAAUACUAUGGAAGAUGAUUAUCUAGCCAAUAGCUUGCUAGUAAACAUAGAGAGUGAAAUUGUGGAGAAGUACAGCUAUGAAGAUGUUCUUGUGCACUUUAAGGGUGUAAAGAAACGAAGGGCUGAUCUGUAG
rnacentral:rRNA from 1 species